rnacentral:rRNA from 1 species
UGGAGUAUGUGGUUUAAUUCGACGCAACGCGAAGAACCUUACCAGGUCUUGACAUCUCCUGAUGCGCUUACGUAAAGUAAGUUUUCUUCUUUGGAAGACAGGAAGACAGGUGGUGCAUGGUUGUCGUCAGCUCGUGUCGUGAGAUGUUGGGUUAAGUCCCGCAACGAGCGCAACCCCUACGUUUAGUUGCUAACGCGUGAAGGCGAGCACUCUAGACGAACUGCCGUUGACAAAACGGAGGAAGGUGGGGAUGACGUCAAAUCAUCAUGCCCCUUAUGUUCUGGGCUACACACGUGCUACAAUGGCCGGUACAGACGGACGCAAAGCCGCGAGGUGGAGCAAAUCCUAAAAAGCCGGUCUCAGUUCGGAUUGCAGGCUGCAAUUCGCCUGCAUGAAGUCGGAAUCGCUAGUAAUCGCAGGUCAGCAUACUGCGGUGAAUACGUUCCCGGGCCUU